CUCACCCUGACGACAGGAUCUUCGAGAAGGAGUCCAUCCGGAUGAUCCGUCCAUCCACGUCCAUGGAGAGGAACGUGGGAGCCCAAGGCUAUGGAGGAGGGGACGAUCGUUGAACGGAAAGCCUAACACGUCUACAGAUUCUGUGUUUCUGCCCAUCCCUCUCAAUACCGACGCCAACUGCCCGACCCUUGCCUGGAACACCGAACUCGACUUUGACCUCAACCCUCCUGGAACUGACACCGAUUGGCCGACCCUUGCCUGGAACACCGAUCUCGACUUUGACCUCCUGGAACCGACACCGAUUGGCUGACCCUCGCCCGGAUUACCGACCACGAUCUUCAGCUCUGCCCCCCAGUUCCCUUAACCUGAAGCAAAUCCGUCUAUCUUCUGAUAAAUACAACACAUAAUGGUAGUACUGUGACCUGACUCUUCUAGGAAUGUGUGUUUAGUUCUUGCUCCUGCCCUUUCUCUUUUCGCUCAUGUGGGACUUAUCCAGGAACUCCAGCUUCCUCCCACCAUACAAAUACUGGCAGCCUAGGUGGACCGGUGUCUGCAGAUCAGCCUUAGUGACAGCAUACCUGUGUGUGGAUUGGCAUUCCAUCCACAGUGUCCAGGCUUACUGUGACACUGCAUUAGCCAAGGAUCGAGUUAUAGCAGAUGGAUGGAUGUGAUUUGUAUUUUGGUUACAGCCAUUAUGUACAACGUCAAUGUGUGAUUGUUACAAUGCAGAAAAACAAGUAAUCGAGGUCAUUGAGGUUUCGACUCACUCAGUAUGCGAAUUGGAGACGGCUUCCGAGCAGCACUCACUGCUGUUAAAAAGCGGGAGUAAUUCAUCGUACCUGUGACAGAAUGAUCAAAUAAAUCAUCAUAAUAAAACAUAAUAAUAAAACACUUAAA